rnacentral:lncRNA from 1 species
AAGAUUCAGAUACAACCAAUACUUAUAUUUUAGAACGGAUAAAAUAUAUGCUUUGAUAUUUACAUAUCUUUCCAGACAGAUAUUUACAUAUCUUGCCAGACAUGUGAUUCUUAUAGAGAGUCCGUAGAGAUCACACUGUGUUUUGAUGGAUCAAAUUAAAAUAAAAUAGGCCUAGGAGACAUAGGGAAAGGAUGGGGCAUAACAGCAUGCAUUGCUGGCCAGUGCUCUAACUGGUUACGCACCAGCAGAAGUGGAUUAUCUGCUGAUGGCGAGAGAAAUUUAUCACGAAUGAAAUUAGUGACAGUGGACUGAACGACCGGGUUGACUAGUGUUUCCAGUACAGCUGCUAGUCCUCAACCAUCCUAUUGCUUGUUCUAUUAUCUAAAAAAUUAUUGCUGUUGUUUGUCCUACUUAUUGUCAAUACUAAACUAGCAUAAUUCAGUUUGCUCAUCAUUCGUUUCAAAAUAGUUGAACUUAAUUAGGACAUUUUUGGAGAUACUAAGGUUGAGGGGAAGAUGGUUAUCAUUGGUUGAGAAAAAAGGAAAAUAUGAAUGAAAAAAUUAAAUGGUGGA